rnacentral:rRNA from 1 species
CACAAGCGGUGGAUGAUGUGGUUAAUUCGAUGCAACGCGAAAACCUUACCCACCUUUGACAUGUACGGAAUCCUUUAGAGAUAGAGGAGUGCUCGAAAGAGAGCCGUAACACAGGUGCUGCAUGGCUGUCGUCAGCUCGUGUCGUGAGAUGUUGGGUUAAGUCCCGCAACGAGCGCAACCCUUGUCAUUAGUUGCUACAUUCAGUUGGGCACUCUAAUGAGACUGCCGGUGACAAACCGGAGGAAGGUGGGGAUGACGUCAAGUCCUCAUGGCCCUUAUAGGUGGGGCUACACACGUCAUACAAUGGAUGGUACAAAGGGUCGCCAACCCGCGAGGGGGAGCCAAUCCCAUAAAGCCAUUCGUAGUCCGGAUCGCAGUCUGCAACUCGACUGCGUGAAGUCGGAAUCGCUAGUAAUCGUGGAUCAGAAUGUCACGGUGAAUACGUUCCCGGGUCUU